CCUUGCCAAAACUCUGUUUAAGGUCUGUGAGCUUCAUCCACAGGAUGUUGUUUUCAAGGAUCAGAAAGAUGCUCAGAAAAUGUAUAGAUUCAAUGAUCUUUCGCUGGUAGGCAAAGAGACGAUGGAUCAGUGAACUUCGCUGCCAAUAUUCUAAAACAGUUCUUUUGUAGAAUA